GGAACUUGUACACGUUGCGGUGCAACACUUGUUAAAGA
rfam:Clostridium fallax strain DSM 2631 genome assembly, contig: Ga0131101_101